rnacentral:sRNA from 1 species
GCCAGGUGCAGUGGUGUGCAUAUUUAGUCCCAGCUACUGGGGAAACUGAGGCAGGAGGAUCGAUUGAGCCCAGGAGUUCAAGGCCAGCCUGGGCAACAUAGUGAGAGUCUGUCUCAA